AUACGUAGGGGCCGAGCGUUGUCCGGAAUGAUUGGGCGUAAAGGGCGCGUAGGCGGCCCGGUAAGUCUGGAGUGAAAGUCCUGUUUUUAAGAUGGGAAUUGCUUUGGAUACUGUCGGGCUUGAGUGCAGGAGAGGUAAGUGGAAUUCCCAGUGUAGCGGUGAAAUGCGUAGAGAUUGGGAGGAACACCAGUGGCGAAGGCGACUUACUGGACUGUAACUGACGCUGAGGCGCGAAAGUGUGGGGAGCAAACAGGAUUAGAUACCCUGGUAGUCCACACGGUAAACGAUGAAUGCUAGGUGUAGGGGGUAUCGACCCCUUCUGUGCCGCAGUCAACACAAUAAGCAUUCCGCCUGGGGAGUACGGCCGCAAGGUUGAAACUCAAAGGAAUUGACGGGG
rnacentral:rRNA from 1 species